rnacentral:rRNA from 1 species
UACGUAGGGUGCGAGCGUUGUCCGGAAUUAUUGGGCGUAAAGAGCUCGUAGGCGGUUUGUCGCGUCUGCUGUGAAAACUCGGGGCUUAACCCCGGGCCUGCAGUGGGUACGGGCAGACUAGAGUGCGGUAGGGGAGACUGGAAUUCCUGGUGUAGCGGUGAGAUGCGCAGAUAUCAGGAGGAACACCGGUGGCGAAGGCGGGUCUCUGGGCCGUAACUGACGCUGAGGAGCGAAAGCGUGGGGAGCAAACAGG